rnacentral:tRNA from 2 species
GCUCGCGUAGCUCAGUUGGUAGAGCGCCCGGUUUACAUCCGGUAGGUCCCUGGUUCGAGUCCAGGCGCGAGCACAA